rnacentral:rRNA from 1 species
UGCCCCAGUAACGGCGAGUGAAGCGGCAACAGCUCAAAUUUGAAAUCUGGCCCCCCGGCCCGAGUUGUAAUUUGCAGAGGAUGCUUUUGGUGAGGCACCUACCGAGUCCCCUGGAAUGGGGCGCCAUAGAGGGUGAGAGCCCCGUAUGGUAGGACGCCGAACCUCUGUAAAGCUCCUUCGACGAGUCGAGUAGUUUGGGAAUGCUGCUCUAAAUGGGAGGUAAAUUUCUUCUAAAGCUAAAUACCGGCCAGAGACCGAUAGCGCACAAGUAGAGUGAUCGAAAGAUGAAAAGCACUUUGAAAAGAGGGUUAAAAAGUACGUGAAAUUGUUGAAAGGGAAGCGCUUGUGACCAGACUUGCGCCGGGCGGAUCAUCCAGCGUUCUCGCUGGUGCACUCCGCCCGGUUCAGGCCAGCAUCGGUUUUCGCCGGGGGACAAAGGCUUCGGGAACGUGGCUCCUUUCGGGGAGUGUUAUAGCCCGUUGCGUAAUACCCCGGCGGGGACCGACGACCGCGCUUCGGCAAGGAUGCUGGCGUAAUGGUCAUCAGCGACCCGUCUUGAAACACGGACCGAGGAGUCAAGCAUUAGUGCGAGUGUUUGGGUGUAAAACCCGCACGCGUAAUGAAAGUGAACGUAGGUGAGAGCUUCGGCGCAUCAUCGACCGAUCCUGAUGUUUUCGGAAGGAUUUGAGUAGGAGCAUUAACGCUUGGACCCGAAAGAUGGUGAGCUAUACUUGAAUAGGGUGAAGCCA